ensembl:lncRNA
AGAGAACCUUACCAACCCCUAUGCUCUGUAUUAUCCGCUGGAUACCCAUCUAUUUAGUUUUAUUUAUUUAUUUAACCCUUAUUUUACCAGGUAAGUUGACUGAGAACACAUUCUCAUUUACAGCAACGACCUGGAGAAUAGUUACAGGGGAGAGGAGGGGGAUGAAUGAGCCAAUUCAGCACAGAAAGCACUGAGCUAGGCUGAAACAACUGCAUUUUGGAGCUGCCUUACUCAAGAAAGCAAAAAAGAGACCAUCUUCCUUCUCAACUGUAUUGACGGAGAACGUCCAUGAUCCCUCCUCCAAUGGAUUUCGAAGAAGGAGACGAGGAGAGAGGCUGCGAGGAAUCGAGGAAAAAUUCAUUGAGAAAGAGACCUGGACGUAGAAUUGUCCACAUAGCCUGUGACACAGCCAGACUACAGUUAAACUAUGGGAACCAUGUUCAUACAGAGUAACCCAAUCGCCCAUGAAGACAGCUAACUAAAAGCUAGGAAGAAGCUAAAUCAGUGUUGGGUAGCUUGGUAGCUAUGAUUCAAUUUCACAGUUUUGGGUACAGUGAUAUCACGAAGCCAAAGUUAGGCUCCCCUUUUAAUCCCCUCCUCUUCCUCCUCCUCUCAGCUCUCUACUCUCAGUCACGACUGUGCAGAUAAAGACUGUGUGACUCAGCAGCCCGAACCGAACAGCACGCACAGUCAGAAUGAACACCUCAAAUAACCACAACCAUCCGGCUUAAAUGCAUCCAUUAUAAUGAUGUCUAUUAUAAUGGUGAUUGGUUAGCGCGAUAGUUGGGGUCGCUAUGGAGUCAGUUUGGGGGGUGAGUGUGUAGCAGAUGGGUAUUUGUGACGCUUGCUCCUUAGCCUGAAAUGUAAAAGAGGUACGGCUAAGCAAGCAGCGUGACGUCUGCUCACAUCUUCUCGCCUUGCCUCCUCAAAACGAAUUGGAAAAGGUUUGAGAGACCUUGAACCUUGUCCUCCAAUAUGGUCGAGAAAGCGGCGAGGAGUACGAUCCGAGGAAUUGCGAGUGACAAAUUGAAAAAGAACCCUCGUCUUGACUUGGUCAACUUGUUGACCUUCCUUUCUGUAGACUGGGUUAGUGCUCUAAAUAAUUUGCUGCUCGAUAUUCCCACGGUUAAAAUUGUCCAUUAUUUCAAGCCUAAUUGAGAAGAAAUAUUUUCCCUCUCUUUAAGUAUCAACACGAGUCUGGCUUGGCUUGAUUCAGUGGGCUCUAUUGCGUGUGUGUAUGUAUGUGUAUUAGCUGAAGGCUGCUACAGGUCCCAUUAUCUCCCAGUGAUGGGGUUAUACUGUUACCUUCCCAGUCAGUGUCACAUUCUCAAUAUCCUACUGUACAUUCAUAUCCAUACAUCUUCCAUUGAAUCCCUCUAGUCCAUGUUCACAUCAUUUUGUAUUUGUGACCAUUCAGAGAGCCUAUUCAUUGGCACCAUUUCCCAGCUCCCCUAUUAUUUCUGAUAGAGGAUGUUCACAAUGUGACAAAUAUAACCUGGGGUCCAAGCUCUGCAGGCUGCAGUGCAGGGGGUGUCAGGGCCUCUAUGAUAAACCGACAAGGGACAAGGCCAAGCACACAUCAUAGAAGACCCCACACACAAUCCCAAUGUUUUGAGCUGCUGCCCUCCAAGAGGGUCCGGUCCCACUGUUCAGCAAGAACAGGAAGGAGGCAAGUUUCAUUCCAUCAGCCAUCAGGCUGCUGAACAGUGGGACAUAGGAUGAUGCAGGCCCAAUACAAGGUCAGACAGUAAGCCGCAGAGACUUUGAAUAUGUGAAAAUGUAGCCUAAAUGUGUGACUUGCUACUAGCUUUCCAGUUUUCCGUGCUGCAUGUAAUAUAUUGUGUUGUGUUUGUGUAUUUGCAUGCUGACGUCACGAAAUGCCUUUCCAUGUAAAUGGCCAAUAAAGUAUAUAUUCGUGCGUGUUAUACAGGAUUCUUGGGAUGACCCUACCCCAUUGAAGUUAAAAUGUACAAUGGUUAUGGUAAGGGUUAAGGUUAGGGUUAGGUAAGGGUUAUGGUUAAGGUUAGGUGUUAAAGUUAGGAUUAGGGGUUAGGCUAGGGCAUAGCUGCGGUAAGUAGUUUGUGGGUGGGCAUGCUGCAAAAAAAGAAUUGCGCUACAGAAGUCAGCUAACACAGGACUAGUAAAGGUCCAGUGCACUACUUUUGUGAUUUUUUUUGUCUAAAUGUAUUUGUAUUUGAGUGUUUACCAGCAUUUGUAAUUUGAGUCUCAUAAUUAUCUGUACAAAACAGUUAAUCUGAUAAUACUUGCUUGAUAUACAUUUUCCAGUUUCUUGAAAUACUUUGCAAAUGCAACAUAUUUCAAUGUGAAAACUUAAAUGGUCUAUUCAUUCCUUUUACUAAAUGCUCUU